rnacentral:rRNA from 1 species
CAGGCAACGUGCCCGACGAUCUCAUUUGACCUCGGAAGCUAAGCAGGUUUGAGCCUGGACAGUGCUUUGAUGGGUGACCAUAUCGCAUAAAGCAGGUGCUGU